ensembl:rRNA 5S_rRNA 5S ribosomal RNA
AGCCACAUCCAUAUCAUCCUGCAGCCCAAGACUAGUUACAAAUUGAAGCUAAGCAGGGCUGACCCUGGUUAGUACCAGGAUGGGAGAGCACAUGGAAAAACUAGGUUGCUGUUGGAA